rnacentral:rRNA from 1 species
AUUGAACGCUGGCGGCAUGCUUUACACAUGCAUGUCGAACGGCAGCGCGGGGCAACCUGGCGGCGAGUGGCGAACGGUUGAGUAAUACAUCGGAACGUACCCAGAAGUGGGGGAUAACGUAGCGAAAGUUACGCUAAUACCGCAUACGUUCUACGGAAGAAAGUGGGGGACCUUCGGGCCUCAUGCUUUUGGAGCGGCCGAUGUCUGAUUAGCUAGUUGGUAGGGUAAAGGCCUACCAAGGCGACGAUCAGUAGCUGGUCUGAGAGGACGACCAGCCACACUGGGGCUGAGACACGGCCCAGACUCCUACGGGAGGCAGCAGUGGGGAAUUUUGGACAAUGGGCGCAAGCCUGAUCAAGCAAUGCCGCGUGAGUGAAGAAGGCCUUCGGGUUGUAAAGCUCUUUUGUCAGGGAAGAAACGGUCGGGGUUAAUACCUCUGGCUAAUGACGGUACCUGAAGAAUAAGCACCGGCUAACUACGUGCCAGCCGCCGCCGUAAAAC